rnacentral:lncRNA from 1 species
UUCUUAAGGCUUGCAUCAAGUUAACCACUUAGUACCUGAUUCUAGGUUUAAUCUAUUCAUCAAAAGUGUUAUAGGUUGCUAGACAUAACUUGAAUGAGCAUUGCAUCCCUAAUCAGCGAAAGUAGAUAUUAGGGUGUUUUGUGAACAUAUCGGACUUGAUCUCUAUUGCUUGCUGUCGCAUCUUGAUCCAAACGAGAGUUUAGGUAUCAAGAUCGAUCAGCAUAGGGGGCAGUUCCACGACAGUGGGCUGUUCUACUUGAGUUAUCCGAGUUCUAGACUGGUCUUUAAUCGAACUUGAAUAAUUGUUUGGCUCACACUUGUUUAACACACGAUCAAACCACCCUAGGCUAGCAUUUUAGUUAUCUGAAUACUUUAAUUAAUCUUGUUACUUGUUUCUCACGAAACCCUCAAAUCUUAAAACCCCCAUAUUGUUUUAGCUAAGUAUUGAUCCCAUAAAGAUAAAGUGUAACCGUUGGUCUCUGUGGAUUCGAUCCUAAAGUGCUACAUCGACAUACCAUUCGAUUGUGGUAGUGUGCACAUUAGGUUAUUUGGUGUGCGUAUACACGUAAUAUCAAAUUGGCGCCGUUGCCGGGGACCAUCUUUUUACCUUUAUUUUUCGGUUAUUUAUUUAGUCUAAGACCUCUAACUUGCCUUAUCCUUUUUGUUGCAGCUAAUCUUCCAGGUGCAUGACCAGUAGACAUACUCGGAGAAACGC